rnacentral:tRNA from 1 species
CCUCCUGUAGUUCAGUGGUUGAGCGUCCGACCGGUGUGCGAAAGGUCAUAGGUUCGACUCAUGUUGGGAAAA